CAGUGAUUGAGUGGAGAGAGGAGGCUUUCAACGAACGAUAUAUCAUGAAGAGAUAUGUGAAAAACACCUUGAGGAUUGAUUCUAAACAACGUUUACCAUGUUUCAGUCGAUAUUAUGGAGUUAAUUUGGAAAAAUUUCGGCGUUUUGAAGACUGAAUUUUCGUUUUUUUUUGGUAGCCAAACCUGACGCACCAAACGGAGCAAUUUCUCCUAAACAAAUAAUCUUUCAGGAAAAACUGAGCAUUUGCCAACUAACUGAGAGUCUCCUCAUUGAAAACAUCUGAAGUUCUUCAAAGGAAAAACUGAGCAUUUGCUAUCUAACUGAGAGUCUCCUCAUUGAAAACAUCUGAAGUUCUUCAAAGGGGGGUGUUCCCUUACAAGGAAGAGGGGAAACAGUCGUGGCCAUGGUGGAAAAAGUUGAGGCCUUUACUAGGAAGCUUGAGUUGUUUGAUUUGGACUUGUCAUCUGAAAGGCUACUGGAUUUCAACACACUGAAGAAACGACAAGCAGAGGGACCAGGCCACAGCAUUGUCAUAGAAGUGAUAUAAUAUUUCAUCAAGCAGCUAAGGGACAAUUUCUUCACCAGAUUUGAAGUCUGCAGUCUACCCAGG
ensembl:lncRNA